GGAAGUGUGCCUGAAAAUAAAGGACCUCCUUGAUAGGGAGAACCAUAGGGGCUCGAACCCCCUCGCUUCCU
rnacentral:tRNA from 1 species